ensembl:lncRNA
AUGCACGCACACUCACUCGCGAUCACACUCAAUGUGCUCACACUCUCACGCACGCUCACACACACACUCUCGCUCACACACACACUCUCACUCACACUCUCAAGUGCGCUCACACACUCACUCGCGCUCACACACUCACUCUCGCUCACACACACACUCUCACUCACACACUCUCAAGUGAGCUCACACACUCACUCUCACUCGCACUUACACACUCACGUGCACUCACUCUCACGCGCACUCACACACUCACUCUCACGUGCACACACACUCAUGCGCUCACACACUCACUCUCACGCGCACGCACUCACUCUCACGCGCACUCACAUACUCUUACGUGCACUCACACACACAUGCACUCACUCUCGCACUCACUCUCACGCGCACUCACAUGCACGCUCUCACACUCUCACGCGCACGCACUCACUCUCACGCGCACUCACAUGCACGCUCUCACACUCUCACGCGCACUCACACACUCACUCUAACGUGCACUCACAUACUCUUACGUGCACUCACACACAUGCACGCGCACUCACUCUCGCACUCACUCUCACGCGCACUAACGCACACUCACUCGCACUCACUCUCACAUGCACUCACACGCACCUACGCACACUCACUCUCACAUGCACUCACACGCACUUACGCGCUCGCACUCUCACAUGCACUCACGCGCACUCACUCUCACAUGCACUUACGCGCACUCGCUCUCACACGCACUUAAGCGCACUCGCUCUCACACGCACUUACGCGCACUCCCUCUCACACGCAUUUACGCGCACUCACUCUCACUCUCACAUGCACUCACACACACUCACGUGCACUUACUCUCACACGCACUCACUCGCACUCACUGUCACUCUCACAUGCACUCACGCGCACUCACUCUCACACGCACUUACGCACACUCACUCUCACACGCACUUACGCACACUCACUCUCACAUGCACUCACGCACACUCACUCUCAUGUGCACUCAUGCACACUCACUCCCACGUGCACUCACUCACAUGCACUUACGCGCACUCACUCUCACAUGCACUCACUCUCAAGUGCACUCACGCGCACUCACUCUCACGUGCACUCACUCUCACGUGCACUCACACACUCACUCGCACUCACUCUCACUCACACGCACACACACUCUAA